rnacentral:rRNA from 1 species
UACGUAGGGUGCAAGCGUUAAUCGGAAUUACUGGGCGUAAAGCGUGCGCAGGCGGCUAUGCAAGACAGAUGUGAAAUCCCCGGGCUCAACCUGGGAACUGCAUUUGUGACUGCAUGGCUAGAGUACGGUAGAGGGGAAUGGAAUUCCGCGUGUAGCAGUGAAAUGCGUAGAUAUGCGGAGGAACACCGAUGGCGAAGGCAAUCCCCUGGACCUGUACUGACGCUCAUGCACGAAAGCGUGGGGAGCAAACAGG